AUUGAACGCUGGCGGCGUGCCUAACACAUGCAAGUCGAGCGGUAACAGGUGUAGCAAUACAUGCUGACGAGCGGCGGACGGGUGAGUAACGCUUGGGAAUCUGCCUGUUAGUGGGGGACAACCCGGGGAAACUCGGGCUAAUACCGCAUACGCACUACGGUGGAAAGCCGGGGACCGCAAGGCCUGGCGCUAACAGAUGAGCCCAAGUCGGAUUAGCUAGUUGGUAGGGAACGGCCUACCAAGGCGACGAUCCGUAACUGGUCUGAGAGGACGACCAGUCACACCGGAACUGAGACACGGUCCGGACUCCUACGGGAGGCAGCAGUGGGGAAUAUUGGACAAUGGGCGAAAGCCUGAUCCAGCGACGCCGCGUGGGUGAAGAAGGCCUGCGGGUUGUAAAGCCCUUUCGGUGGGGAAGAAAAGCCUCGAGUUAAUACCUCGGGGUCUUGACGUAACCCAUAGAAGAAGCACCGGCUAACUCUGUGCCAGCCGCCGCUGUAAG
rnacentral:rRNA from 1 species